rnacentral:rRNA from 1 species
CCCGCACAAGCGGUGGAGCAUGUGGUUUAAUCGAAGCAACGCGAAGAACCUUACCAGGUCUUGACAUCCCGAUGCUAUUCUAGAGAUAGAAAGUUACUUCGGUACAUCGGUGACAGGUGGUGCAUGGUUGUCGUCAGCUCGUGUCGUGAGAUGUUGGGUUAAGUCCCGCAACGAGCGCAACCCCUAUUGUUAGUUGCCAUCAUUCAGUUGGGCACUCUAGCGAGACUGCCGGUAAUAAACCGGAGGAAGGUGGGGAUGACGUCAAAUCAUCAUGCCCCCUUAUGACCUGGGCUACACACGUGCUACAAUGGUUGGUACAACGAGUUGCGAGUCGGUGACGGCGAGCUAAUCUCUUAAAGCCAAUCUCAGUUCGGAUUGUAGGCUGCAACUCGCCUACAUGAAGUCGGAAUCGCUAGUAAUCGCGGAUCAGCACGCCCGCGGUCCGAAUACGUUCCGGCCUU